AUUGAACGCUGGCGGCAGGCCUAAAACAUGCAAGUCGAACGAGUGGCGGACGGGUGAGUAAUGUCUGGGAAACUGCCUGAUGGAGGGGGAUAACUACUGGAAACGGUAGCUAAUACCGCAUACCAUCAGAUGUGCCCAGAUGGGAUUAGCUUGUUGGUGGGGUAACGGCUCACCACGGCGACGAUCCCUAGCUGGUCUGAGAGGACGACCGUCCACACUGGAACUGAGACACGGUCCAGACUCCUACGGGAGGCAGCAGUGGGGAAUAUUGCACAAUGGGCGCAAGCCUGAUGCAGCCAUGCCGCGUGUAUGAAGAAGGCCUUCGGGUUGUAAAGUACUUUCAGCGGGGAGGCGUUACCUACAGAAGAAGGACCGUCUAACUCCGUGCCAGCAGCCGCGGUAAUUC
rnacentral:rRNA from 1 species